ACUACCCAAGAAUGUCUCCGAUGGAAGCCAAGCCCUCCCGAGGAGGAGAAGAAAUGGAUCUGAGUCGUUGUUCUCAGAUCCAUUUCUUCUCCUCCUCUCCGGCUGAUCGCUGCUCGAGUUGUUUUGUUGUCAUGGUUCUUGAUUAGCGUUUUGUUGCCGCAAGCCGGCCAGGGUGGCUUAGACGGGUUCGCUGGUGCUCAACUUUUGACCAGCACGACACCAAGAACCUCACCGUCUUCCAGCCGAUCGACCAUUUCGUGGAGGAGAACCUCAUGAUCCCCCGCUCACAUCAUCUCGAACGAGUUCGGCAUCGAACCCCAACAGUCGAAUGAUCGGAGUAGUGGGAAUGCAACUAACGUAGGAAACGGCAGGGCACCCAUGUGUUGUGAUAUCUCUUGCACCAUGUGUCCCCCGCUCUUCCAGCUUAGUCCACCCAGUGGUCACAAGGGACAACGAGUAUAAGGCUUGGUGCAGGUAUAAGUUUUCCUCUUCCAGGGUUGGGCAACUUUGUUCAUUACAAUGUGAUUUCUUUUAUGGCCAUAGAAUCAUGCGGUUAGGAGCCUUUCCACCCAAGUCGAAAAAUCCUUUUCUUUCUUAUUAACUUUUCAAAUUUUCCCUCUC